rnacentral:rRNA from 1 species
GCUAGCGUUGUUCGGAAUUACUGGGCGUAAAGCGCGCGUAGGCGGACCUGCAAGUCGGGGGUGAAAGCCCGAGGCUCAACCUCGGAACUGCCUUCGAUACUGCGGGUCUCGAGUCCGGGAGAGGUGAGUGGAAUUCCUAGUGUAGAGGUGAAAUUCGUAGAUAUUAGGAAGAACACCAGUGGCGAAGGCGGCUCACUGGCCCGGUACUGACGCUGAGGCGCGAAAGCGUGGGGAGCAAACAGG